ensembl:lncRNA
GGUUGAGACACCGACACGAUGGCAGCAUAGAGUAACAGCUCCCGAGUAUUUAAAAUUCUCCAUGCUCCAUAAACAUCGAAUUACAUUUAAGAACUGAAAAUAUUGAGUUAGAGGGGCAAGGAUGUCAGCUAGGGGUAAAAAAGAAGGAAAAUAAAUAAAAAAAAAACAGGGCAAACUGGGACUCAAAGUGGAAAUGCUGACGCGGCUAGUCCUGACGGAGAACCUACGGCUAACCUAGCUUUGAUCCUCCAAGAAUUAAGAGACUUUCGACAGGACAAUAAAUUCCAACUGGAGGAAAUCAAAGGAGAAAUAACAAAAACCAACAAUAGACUGGAGGAGGCCGAAGACCGAAUCGAAAAGGCAGAAGAAAGAUUACUAAAUGUUGAGGGUGUUCUGUCAGAAAUGUUAAAACUCCAUGCUCAAAUGGAGACAAAAUUAACCGAACAGGAGAGCCGCUCACGACGAGAAAAUAUCCGCCUAUAUGGGAUUUCAGAAGGGGCCGAAAAGGAUAGUGCAUCAGUGACUGAGUUUGUAGAACAACUGCUGGGAAAUAACCUCGACAUUGCUGAUACAACAACUCUACAAAUCGAGGGAGCCCAUCGCUCACUUGGACCUAAGCCACCGCCACACGCACAGCCAAGAUCUAUCAACAACUGCUGGGAAAUAACCUCGACAUUGCUGAUACAACAACUCUACAAAUCGAGAGAGCCCAUCGCUCACUUGGACCUAAGCCACCGCCACACGCACAGCCAAGAUCUAUCGUUGUCAAAUUCGCCAGCUUCCGAACCAAAGAGAUGGUACUUCGCAAAGCAUGGCAAAAGAAGGGCUUGAUGUUGGAAGAAACACGUAUUAAUGUUGACAAUGAUUACCAGCCACGCAUUCUGCAAAGGCGAAAAGAAUAUA